rnacentral:misc_RNA from 1 species
UUAACUAUUAGAUAGUACUCAGACGACACUAACAUUCAGAGUUUGGGGUCCUCUGACACGCGCGAGCCAGCCGAAGCCAGUGCCCGAAGGCGGCGUGCCAAAGCAACAAAGAUAUAAUACACAAGGGUGAGGUUUGCUACCCGUGAGGGCAGCGAACACUGUAAUGAUCCUUCCGCAGGUUCACCUACGGAAA